rnacentral:rRNA from 1 species
AGGGGCAGCGGGGGAGGAAGCUUGCUUUCUCCUGCCGGCGACCGGCGCACGGGUGAGUAACACGUAUGCAACCUGGCCGUCACAGGUGGAUAACCGGAAGAAAUUCCGACUAAUACAGCAUAACACUCCUGAGGGACAUCCUUUGGGAGUCAAAGGAGGCGACUCCGGUGACGGAUGGGCAUGCGGCGCAUUAGGUAGUUGGUAGGGUAACGGCCUACCAAGCCGACGAUGCGUAGGGGUUCUGAGAGGAAGGUCCCCCACAUCGGAACUGAGACACGGUCCAAACUCCUACGGGAGGCAGCAGUGAGGAAUAUUGGUCAAUGGCCGGAAGGCUGAACCAGCCAAGUCGUGUGAGGGAAUAAGGCCCUAUGGGUCGUAAACCUCUUUUGUCAGGGAGCAAAGGCGUCCACGAGUGGACGAAAGGAGAGUACCUGAAGAAAAAGCAUCGGCUAACUCCGUGCCAGCAGCCGCGGUAAUACGGAGGAUGCGAGCGUUAUCCGGAUUUAUUGGGUUUAAAGGGUGCGUAGGCGGAGUGUCAAGUCAGCGGUAAAAUUUCGGGGCUCAACCCCGUCGUGCCGUUGAAACUGACACCCUUGAGUGAGUGAGAAGUAAGCGGAAUGCGUGGUGUAGCGGUGAAAUGCAUA